rnacentral:rRNA from 1 species
UACGGAGGGUGCGAGCGUUGUCCGGAAUCAUUGGGCGUAAAGGGCGCGUAGGUGGCCCGGUCAGUCUUUGGCGAAAGCGCGGGGCUCAACCCUGCGUCGGCCAGGGAUACUGCCGCGGCUCGAGCACUGUAGAGGCAGGCGGAAUUCCGGGUGUAGCGGUGGAAUGCGUAGAGAUCCGGAAGAACACCGAUGGCGAAGGCAGCCCCCUGGGCUGACACUGACGCUCAGGCACGAAAGCGUGGGGAGCAAACAGG